rnacentral:ncRNA from 1 species
AAAAAUUUUAUUCUGGUUUUAAAUAGAUUUGUUGGUGACACCCUCAUAAAUACUUUAUUUGUGUGUAAAGUUAUACAAGAUUAUAACUUGRUUUAGAGGGGAGAUCUUAAUCAAUUAAUUUAUAUAAUUGGUCACUCUCAGCCUAGAGGCAAAAACUCAGUGCCAGCAUCCGCGGUUAAACUGAUUGCUAUUAUCUUUUUGUAAGUAGAAAAAAGUUAUGAUGUAAGGUUUAAUUAAAAUUAAAAUUUUAUUAGUUAUAUUUAUUAAAUAUAUUGUUACUAUUUGUUGUAGAUUUAAACAGGGAUUAGAGACCCCUUUAUAGACAAAGUAAAUUUAAAAAACUAUAGUYAAACUAAAAGGAAUUGGCAGUUAAUUAUAUUCAUUUAGGGGAGUGUGUAGUUCAAAAGAUGUGCCGCUUAGAAACCUACCAUGCUAAAGUUAGUCAGUGUAUAUCCGGUUAAAAACUAUGAAUMUAAAUUCUUAGUGUUUAUUUAUAUUAUAAGCCAGGUCGAUGUGCUGCUGAUGUUAUGGUCACUAUUCGCUACAAUAAYAAAAAAAUAAUUGUAAUAUAAAUUAAUUUGGGACUUAAUAGUAAUAAUAGCAAUUAAGCUUGUUUGAAUGGUYAAAGAUUUAGUUAGUGUACACAUCGCCCGUCAACUUCGAUUAGAGUUGAAGUAAGUCGUAACAUGGUGGAAGUAGGGGAACCUGCUGCUAUAUUAUU